rnacentral:lncRNA from 1 species
GGCUGCAGUUACAGACCUCUAGCCUCGCGUGCGAGUCGUGGGCUUUGGGCUUGUUUUGACAGGGUUGCCUGCAGGCAGUGGGCUGCAUGCACAGUUAGUCUUCCUGAGCUGACUGUGAAUCCCAGAGGGGAAAAUACACUGCUCCACUGAUGCAGGAACGUCCUUAAGCUCGGAGGAGACCUCACCCGUGUGUUAUUAUAGGAUUUCCUCUAAGGGGAACACACUUUGUUGUUGCUGGUGACAAGACUCUUACAGUCGCAGGUUGAUUCUUUUGCAGAAAGAAAUCUUUGGCAUGGGGGGGUGCAGCCCCAAUUAUUUACCCACCUCCUGAGCAAGCCAUGAAUCCUGAUAGCUCACGCACAUCAGCAGUCAUUUUUGUAAUUCUGGCAGUGUAGAAAAAGGCAGGAAGGUGUCUCUUACAUGCUAAAUCCACUCAGACUCUGCUGCAGGAGGGGGGAAACCUGUCUUUUCUGUCCCCAGGCGGCACUGCCUGCGGGAGCAACGUGCAGCAGGAAGAACAAAGACAUUCCCGUUAAAAUCCGCAAGACAAACAAAAACAGAUGCACAAGGACAAGGGACAACCCCGAGUGGGAGCUGCUGGACCACCACGCUCCCAAGAGCCUUGCCAAUGAAGGCAGGUUACAAGAUGAAGACCGGUGUUGGCCGUCCUUGGGAAGAGGAGUGAAGAACAGUCCUUUGGUAAAAAAACAGCAUCUCCCAAAUGAGAGCUCAUGGUCCUUCAGCCAUGCAGAAGACACUGCGGCCCAGCUGUGGGAGCUCAGCUCAAUCUCCUGCCUGCAGGCCGCAUUUCAGGCAAGGUUUUCCUUACCUGCAGCUGGUGUUUCUCCCAACAUAGGCCCCGUGAAGGGCUCCAUGUUCAAAAAUGCAAGCACAAAAACUGGCUACAGCAGUUCCCAAACCAAAGUUGGCAGAAGUCAGGGGAAAGCAGGAGAAAUACCUCCUAAUCUCUCCUUCUACCAUUGUCAGAGCCAGGAUCCUAGGGCAGAUGGGCCUUUGGGACCACAAAGGACAAACAUUUUUCACUUUACAUCCCCCAAGGGAGAGGUGUUGGAAUUCUGCUGA